rnacentral:lncRNA from 1 species
GUACAAAUGUAUGCGUAUGCAACAUUGAUUUAAUUCAAACAAGAACUCUAGAAAAUGCAUUACUCGAAUAUAUAGUAAAUGCCAUUGACAAUACCAAAGAGCAUAGCCAUGAGUCUCAGAUUGUUUGGUUUUUAUUAUGUAAUGAUUUAAUUUUAAAUGUUACGCGUCUUCUGAAUGGCUGACAGUGUUUUAUCUAUCAGCUCAUAGACAUAAUUUUAUCAUGUGACUGUGACGUCAUCAACAUUUUUUCACUUUUUAUUCCGGUUUGAUUAUUAAAAAUUUAACUUGGAAUCAAAUUAUAAAGAAUGCCUGUAAUAUUUUUUCUGCCUAUUCAAAAUAACAUAAAUAUGUGGUGCACACUUUAAAAUAACACGCUACGCGGGUUAUUCACUGAGUGUGCACAUAUUAUUUUUUUCCCUAACAUAUAACAACAUCGUAUUUGUUUAUAUUUCUUGAGUGAUAAAAUACAGGAAAAAGCGCUUAAAAUUUUCUUCAAAUUGCAUGUCAUUUUAAACAUUUCUCAGGGUGAAAUUAUUAUAUGCAUAAAUAGAGGUAACUAUUAAGGAACGAAUAUCCGAAUUAAUUAUUAGUAAUGCUUGUUGAAAGCCACAUGAUGACCUGUGUCUGCUUACAUCUUCGUCACUUUGACUCGUGUCUCUUGUUCAAUAUACAUCUUAUACUUGUAUUGCUGUAGGUUUCAUACCGACAUAGUUUUUUUUAAAUCCCCUGUCUGUCAUUUCGUUAUCAGCGCUGGAGAAAAAAGGCAGCGCAGAUAAAGCUUAAUAGUCGAAGUGUUCAACAAAGGAAUGUUUGACACGAUCGAUAAAAACUCUACCUUAACAAGACUUAUACAUGGUGUUGAUUUAUAAAAGAUCAAUUCUUAUAUUAAGGUACUUGAAUAACAUAUAAUUACUAUACACACUCAGAUAAGUUUUGAAAAUAUGUAAACAUGUGAUUGUGUGAGCCCAUAAGUAACUUUUUUGUUUAGUAAUUAUAUGUUGCAUGUGCAAGUUGCUCAAUCCUUUUCAUAUCGUAAUUAAUAACAUACGGUUUGGAUCAAAAUACCUUUAGUUAACAAACAUAAAUAAUAAAUUGAAAGCUUACUAUGUUAUCAUAAUUCACAACAAUAGUGACAUUCAUUUCACCUUUCUUUUUUGUAACAUGUGUAAGUUGUAACCUUUGUAAAAAAGGAUCCAAAUAAAUCAUACAUUACAUCUGCUACAAAUAAGUUUUUGUGAUGAAAUAGAAAGGAGUGUUUCGAAAACACCACUUAUCAUUAUGCGAUUUUAGGCAAAUGUUUUGUGUACACAAACAUAUGUAACAUUGUGUAAGCAUAUACAGAGAUCGAUGUCGUUUGAAUGAGAUCAUGCAAAUGUCACAUGCAUUAUCAAAUAUGAGUGUGAUAUUCUAAAUUUACAAGUUUUAUGAUUUGGUGCUUUUUAUUAUGCUUAAUACAAUGAUUCUAUAUUGAAAUAAAGUCUUUCAUUUU